UCCCCAAAAUCCCCAUUUUUUUCAAAAAAACCAGCAAAAAAUCCCAAUUUUUCCCCCAAAAUCCCAAUUUUUCCCCCCAAAAAUCCCCGAUUUUUCCCCCAAAUCCCCAAUUUUUCUCCCCAAAUCCCAAUUUUUCCCCAAAAAUCCCAUUUUUCCCCUAAAAAUCCCAUUUUUUCCCAAAAAAACACCCAAAAAUCCCAAUUUUUCCCCCCAAAAAUCCCCGAUUUUUCCCCCAAAUCCCCAAUUUUUCUCCCCAAAUCCCAAUUUUUCCCCAAAAAUCCCAUUUUUCCCCCAAAAAUCCCAUUUUUUCCCAAAAAAAAGACCCAAAAAUCCCAAUUUUUCCCCAAAAAUCCCCAAUUUUUUCCCCCAACACCCCAAUUUUCCCCAAAAAUCCCAUUUUUUCCCUCCAAAACCCCAUUUUUUCCCCCAAAAUCCCCAUUUUUUCCCCGUUUUUCUCCCCCCAGAGCCACCGUGCAGGAGCUGCGGGAUUUGGGUUCCGAGGCCCGGUCCCGGCUGGCCGAGUACGGAGCCGAGGCGCGGGCGCUGCUGGAGCUGAGCGCCGCCGACCUCCGCAGCCGCGGCGCCAACUUCGCCCGCAAACUUCGGAAACGCCUGGGCCGCGACCAGGAGGAGCUGCAGAAACGCUGGGAAGGGGGAAAGGCGGCGCUCAGGCAGCUCUGGGGACCCCCGGAGACACCCCGGCAUUGAGGAGGGGGAAAAAAUGGGAUAAAAGCGGAAUUUUGGUGGAAAAAAGUGUGUUUUGUGUGCUGGAAAUGGCAAAAAACGGGAUUAAAAUGGCUCGAAAUGGGUGGAAUUGGCCCAAAAUGGGAUCGAAACACCCAAAAAGGGAUGGGAAAGUCCCAAAAAUGGAUGGAAUUUGCCCAAAAAGUGAUCAAAACCCCCAAAAAUGGGAUCAAAACAACCAAAAAUAGAUGGAAUUGACCCAAAAAUGAACCAGAACACCCCAAAAAGGGAUGGGAAAGUCCCAGAAAUGGCUGGAAUUGGCCCAAAAUGGGAUCAAAACACCCAAAAAUGGCUGGAAUUGCCCAAAAAUGGAUCAAAACACCCAAAAAUGGGUGAAAUUGGCCCAAAAAGUGGUGGAAAUGCCCCAAAAUGGGAUCAAAACCCCCAAAAAUGGAUGGAAUUGCCCCAAAAGGGGCGGAAUUGGCCCCAAAGGGGCGGGGGCAGGAGGAGCUGCAGAAACGCUGGGAAGGGGGAAAGGCGGCGCUCAGGCAGCUCUGGGGACCCCCGGAGACACCCCGGCAUUGAGGAGGGGGCAAAAUGGGAAUUUGGGGAAAAAAA
rnacentral:lncRNA from 1 species